GUGUUGUAUGAAAGGAGAGAAGGUUAGCACUCCCCUUGACAGAUAUGAUGGGCCUAUACCUCAAAUAAAUCCCUCUCUCCAUUGUUACUGGUCAUCUCUAUCAGGAACAACAAUAGACCCCUUUGU
rfam:Erinaceus europaeus unplaced genomic scaffold scaffold00292, whole genome shotgun sequence